GAGCGAAAGCGACGUUCAACCGCAAAACAAGCAGAGGGGGCUUAGUGGUGGGGUGACUGCGUACCUUUUGUAUAAUGGGUCAGCGACUUAUAUUCUGUAGCAAGGUUAACCGUAUAGGGGAGCCGGAGGGAAACCGAGUCUUAAUUGGGCGUUAAGUUGCAGGGUAUAGACCCGAAACCCGGUGAUCUAGCCAUGGGCAGGUUGAAGGUUGGGUAACACUAACUGGAGGACCGAACCGACUAAUGUUGAAAAAUUAGCGGAUGACCUGUGGCUGGGGGUGAAAGGCCAAUCAAACCGGGAGAUAGCUGGUUCUCCCCGAAAGCUAUUUAGGUAGCGCCUCGUGAAUUCAUCUCCGGGGGUAGAGCACUGUUUCGGCUAGGGGGCCAUCCCGGCUUACCAACCCGAUGCAAACUGCGAAUACCGGAGAAUGUUAUCACGGGAGACACACGGCGGGUGCUAACGUCCGUCGUGAAGAGGGAAACAACCCAGACCGCCAGCUAAGGUCCCAAAGUCAUGGUUAAGUGGGAAACGAUGUGGGAAGGCCCAGACAGCCAGGAUGUUGGCUUAGAAGCAGCCAUCAUUUAAAGAAAGCGUAAUAGCUCACUGGUCGAGUCGGCCUGCGCGGAAGAUGUAACGGGGCUAAACCAU
rnacentral:rRNA from 1 species